rnacentral:lncRNA from 1 species
UUACAUUCUUUAGUGUUUAGGGAGGUAGUAGGUGCGCUUUACUGAUUGGACGUCUCCACCUGGCCUGACACGUCCUGGUACCUGGGCUCCGGUAAAAAUGGCUGGUUAGCCAUAUUUUACUGGUUUCCCAGACCCGUUUCGAAAUCAUCUUUCCCACCGCAGGAAGGCAUUUGUCUGCCUAACGACCUGCAAACAGGAAGGAUGUUCAUCAGCCUCACUUUGUUCUGCUGACCUUUCCUGGAGACGCCUCUACCAGUUGCUUCUCUAAGAGAAGAUGGGGCAAUGACCUUCGGUGGGUGCUCGAGAAGCCUUUAUGAAGUUCCCUUCCCUCUGUUAGUAUCAUUGUCCAUAUCAGACAACUCUU